AAAAAUUGAUAUUUUGAAAAUCUGAAAAAAAAUUUUUUUUUGGAUAUUCUAAAAAAUAUUUCC
rnacentral:sRNA from 1 species